GCCUACCCUGUCAGUAGCCUCGUUCACGCGGGCGUUACAGUUCGUCUCGCCCGUCUAUACCAUGGGAUCGGAGGCCAGGACGCCAAGUUUCCAAAUUUCCCGAAUUGGUUGCGGCGAGGGGCUGGUGGCUGGACUGCGCGCUCGGCAAGGCGGAGCAUGGUGGCCGGAGCGUGCUGUAGGCGGUUUCACGUCACUUCUUCAUAGACCUGGUAGACGGCGAGCAGGAGGAGCAGGAGAUGUGGGUUUCGCAGUGGUGAUGGCUGCAGCCAUGGGACGUUAGGGUGAUCUCGGUGGGAGAUUGAGGCCAGCGCGGAUGCCGAUCUUCUCUGGAGCCCCAUGAGGUUUGCCUUAAACUGUGGUUCUAGUGCACAUUCUAUGGUCAGAACUCAGAACUGCUGCUUUUUAGCAAGUAGAAGUGGAACUGAAACUUCUACCCAUGUUUCCAUGUCCAUGACAGCACCAUACCGUAGUAAACUUUUCUUUUUGUUAGCAAGAUAGGAGGAAUGUGAAGUCGUACUUGAAGCUUGGCGACAAGAGCUAACAUGGUCUGGAUAACUAAUAUCAUAAUAUAGUACAUGGAAUGAUUCUGCAAUAUUCUUGGUAGGUGGCCUAGGUACUAGCAAGACCAAGAUGAAGGCAGUUGCCAUUAGCAGAGAGACAAGCAUUGUCAUGUUCUCUUACAUAGGCACUCAAUGAAGCUUAAUCUUAAUUAUCAACAUACA